rnacentral:lncRNA from 1 species
AAAUUCAUAAAUAGUUUAAUUUAGUUCAUAAUUAAUUCAUAAGACGAUAUAUUAUUCAUCACUCUAUUUUCUAUCAACCACGUAUACUUACGUGUGUUCGUUUGACCCUAACUAUUGUUGCCAUAAUAAAUUGGAUCGAUAUGACUUACUGAAAGAUGAACAAGCCAUUUACCGACUCCAUCUCCGAAUCCUGGCUCAAAAUGGUAUGCUGGAGGUGAUCCGUCCAAGCACACUGCCACAUUAAAAAAAUAUUACUGUAACUCUUUCUAAAAUUAAAAAAUUACUUAUUAUAAUUAUAUUAAAUGUGUUGAGAAUGUAAAUUGAAUAAAUAAAUGUGUGCUCUAUCUAACGGUUUUAGCAUUAAAUGAAACGGCCACAUAUAUUAACAUGGUAUCAGAGUAUCCAUAUAUUCUUGAGUCGAGUUUAUCGACCGUGUAUAAUUGCACGUUAGUUUGACCCUAGCAAUUGUAGCCAUACUGAAUUAUAUAUCACUUACCGAAAGAUGAACAAGCCAUUUUCCCACUCCAUCUCCGAACCCUGGUUCAAAAUGGUAUGCUGGAGGUGAUCCGUCCAAGC